AUUGAACGCUGGCGGCAUGCCUUACACAUGCAAGUCGAACGGCAGCACGGGUGCUUGCCCCUGGUGGCGAGUGGCGAACGGGUGAGUAAUACAUCGGAACAUGUCCUGUAGUGGGGGAUAGCCCGGCGAAAGCCGGAUUAAUACCGCAUACGAUCUACGGAUGAAAGCGGGGGCCCUUCUGGCCUAGCGCUAUAGGGUUGGCCGAUGGCUGAUUAGCUAGUUGGUGGGGUAAAGGCCUACCAAGGCGACGAUCAGUAGCUGGUCUGAGAGGACGACCAGCCACACUGGGACUGAGACACGGCCCAGACUCCUACGGGAGGCAGCAGUGGGGAAUUUUGGACAAUGGGCGAAAGCCUGAUCCAGCAAUGCCGCGUGUGUGAAGAAGGCCUUCGGGUUGUAAAGCACUUUUGUCCGGAAAGAAAUCCUUGGCCCUAAUACGGUCGGGGGAUGACGGUACCGGAAGAAUAAGCACCGGCUAACUACGUG
rnacentral:rRNA from 1 species